AACAGAAAGGAAGGUGGGCUGGUUAUGAUGGGAUGAGAGGGAAGGAUAAUUGAGGGCCAGCCAGUGGGCUCCCUUGGUAUCCACUCAAGCCAUGAGCCCCCAACCAGAGACAGCUUUCUGGCAAAACACCUCAAUUUUAGGUUUAUCUUAUCCUCUUCUCUGUGGAUAUUCUCCCUCUUGCCAAAAGUUUCCCAUUGUCUCUUCCCAACUUCAUUUCCAAUUCUCUGACUCUCUCCCUGAAGCGGUAAAUACUCUGAUAUAGGUUAUGCCAGUACUGUCAUACAAUUGGAAGGUAAGAGUUUAAAUGUUGAAUAAUGGAUUCUCCAAAGAAAAAUGUGCUCAUGAUACUUUAAAAUUUAAUCUGCAUUUGAUUUCAUAUGUAUAAGUCAUAUUU